rnacentral:rRNA from 1 species
AACGAACGCUGGCGGCAGGCUUAACACAUGCAAGUCGAACGCAUCCUUCGGGGUGAGUGGCAGACGGGUGAGUAACGCGUGGGAACGUGCCCUUCAGUUCGGAAUAACCCAGGGAAACUUGGGCUAAUACCGGAUACGUGCGAGAGCAGAAAGAUUUAUCGCUGAAGGAUCGGCCCACGUCUGAUUAGCUAGUUGGUGAGGUAAUGGCUCACAAAGGCGACGAUCAGUAGCUGGUCUGAGAGGAUGAUCAGCCACAUUGGGACUGAGACACGGCCCAAACUCCUACGGGAGGCAGCAGUGGGGAAUAUUGGACAAUGGGCGCAAGCCUGAUCCAGCCAUGCCGCGUGAGUGAUGAAGGCCUUAGGGUUGUAAAGCUCUUUCAGUGGGGACGAUAAUGACGGUACCCGCAGAAGAAGCCCCGGCUAACUUCGUGCCAGCCGCCGCCGUAAGAC